rnacentral:rRNA from 1 species
UACGUAGGGGGCAAGCGUUGUCCGGAAUCAUUGGGCGUAAAGAGCGUGUAGGCGGCCCGAUAAGUCCGCUGUGAAAGUCCAGGGCUCAACCCUGGAAUGCCGGUGGAUACUGUCGGGCUCGAGUCCGGAAGAGGUGAGUGGAAUUCCUGGUGUAGCGGUGAAAUGCGCAGAUAUCAGGAGGAACACCAAUGGCGAAGGCAGCUCACUGGGACGGUACUGACGCUGAGACGCGAAAGCGUGGGGAGCGAACAGG